UACGAAGGGGGCUAGCGUUGCUCGGAAUCACUGGGCGUAAAGCGCACGUAGGCGGAUUGUUAAGUCGGGGGUGAAAUCCUGGAGCUCAACUCCAGAACUGCCUUCGAUACUGGCGAUCUUGAGUCCGGGGAGAGGUGAGUGGAACUCCGAGUGUAGAGGUGAAAUUCGUAGAUAUUCGGAAGAACACCAGUGGCGAAGGCGGCUCACUGGCCCGGUACUGACGCUGAGGUGCGAAAGCGUGGGGAGCAAACAGGG
rnacentral:rRNA from 1 species